rnacentral:rRNA from 1 species
GUAGGGAAUAUUGGGCAAUGGUCGGAAGACUGACCCAGCCAUGCCGCGUGCAGGAAGACGGCCCUCUGGGUUGUAAACUGCUUUUAUCUGGGAAGAAAAAGGCCAUGCGUGGCAAAUUGCCGGUACCAGAUGAAUAAGCACCGGCUAACUCCGUGUCAGCAGCCGCGGUAAUACGGAGGGUGCGAGCGUUGUCCGGAUUUAUUGGGUUUAAAGGGUGCGUAGGCGGCUGAUUAAGUCAGCGGUGAAAGACUUCGGCUUAACCGGAGCAGUGCCGUUGAUACUGGUUGGCUUGAGUGUCGGAGGGGUACAUGGAAUUGAUGGUGUAGCGGUGAAAUGCAUAGAUACCAUCAGGAACACCGAUAGCGAAGGCAUUGUACUGGCCGACAACUGACGCUGAUGCACGAAAGUGUGGGGAUCGAACAGGAUUAGAUACCCGAGUAGUCC